CUUUUCAAGUUGUAUUCAGCGGGUGCCACAGCUGCCAGUUAUUUCAAUGAUUUGAAAUUAGUGCCAUUGCAUUUUUCAUCUAAGUAUGUACAUGUAUGCUGUAAUUUUAAUGCCCUGACCUUUUGUUUUUUCUAGCUCUUCAUGCCUACAGGGAGUACUUGAGCCAGUACAGCGAGUACUUGAAGAGGGCAGUGUUCAAUUACCGGCUGAGUCGUGCAAGGAGGCUCAUAGAAAACAGUUUUGGUAUCCUGGCAAGUAGGUGGCGAAUACUGAAGAGACCUUUUCGAGCGUCAGAAGAAACCACUGAGAACAUUGUAAGGGCAUGUGUGGCGCUUCACAAUUUUCUGAUGAAAGAUUCAGCGUUCUCAAGGACAACGUACAACCCUCCUGGAUUUGUUGACCAUGAAGACUGGGAGGGAAAUGUCACAAAUGGGGCAUGGAGGAACGACAGUAGUGCCCUUCCUGGAUGGACAGACCAGGGGUACCACUCUGCUCGGGCUGCAUUGGAAGUAAGGGAUAGACUGGCAUCCUACUUCAUGAGUGACGGCCAGGUGCCAUGGCAGGAAAGUGUCGUGACCCGUGCAGGACGGCAGGAAAUGUGAACCAUGCCAGUACCGAGAGGAAGGUCCCUUGGAUGCUCGCCUUUUGGCAGACCUGCAGGACAGGCC